rnacentral:lncRNA from 1 species
GAGAGGGGCCAGGUAUCAAACCUGUGUUCUUAUGGAUACUAGUUGGGUUUGUUUCCACUGUACCACAAUGGGAACUCCAGAAUUUUCAGUUUCUUAAUCUCAAGAGAAAAGUUAUAAAAUUCUAGAGCUUGUCGUAAAUAUUAAAUCAGAACACAUAUGUUACUCUCUCAUGGUGCUGAGUUAAUCAAAAUUAAUAGCUGUUUCUUCUAACCUGUAGGCCAGUGUACACCUCCAACUGCUAUCUUAUAACACACACACACAUACUCAGGCACAUGCAUACACACACACACACACACACACAGACAACUCUAGAAUUGGGUAUCCCUGAGUAAUCAGGCAUGCUUCUCUGUCUCCCUUUGCCCUCAUUCUGUUGACAGUGAUUUUUAUACAGCUGCUCUAUGCCAGUCACGUGGGUGCCAAGAACAUAAAGAUGGAGAAAAGAACCACGACACCAAGGGACAGAGAAGAGAAAAAAAUGUAAGUUGCAUUUAUCAAGCUUCUUGUUCUCACCCCUUCCCCAAGCCCACCUGCAUUCUUGACUUUGGGAGGCACUGUAGUACUUGAUUCUUCCCAUAAGGUGACUUCUGGAUUCUGUUUGAAAGCCAAAGCCACCUGCUCUCUUCCCUCCAUCUGGAACAUACAUUUCCCAACUUUUUGCACUGCUGGCUCUUUCUUUAACUCAUCUUUUAAAAUGUUGUCUUUCAAAUUUCCCUUUGUGGCUUAGUGGGUUAUAAACCCAACUACUAUCCAUGAGGAUGUGGGUUCAAUCCCUGGCCUCACUCAGUGGGUUAAGGAUUGGGCAUUGCCCUUAGCUGUGGUGUAGGUCAUAGAUGUGGCUUGGAUCUGGCGUUGCUGUGGCUGUGGCCUGCAGCUGCAGCUCCAAUUCAACCCCUAGCCUGGGAACUUCCAUAUUCCACAGGUGUGGCCGUAAAAAGCAAAAUUAAAUUAAAUUAAAUUAAGUCUUAUCUUUCAUCCACCGUCUACAUGGAAUUAUUGGAACACUUUUAAGGAUGUAACACUAUUAAGUGAAUAACUAAAUGAAAAGAAACCUAAUACUGUUUCUGAUCCUCAUUUUCCCCAACUGUGAAAUGGAAAAACAGAAGGGUAUUUUCACAAGGUGACUGUGGAGAUGGAAGCAAAAUAGGGAGAGGAGGGUUCCUGGUACACAGGGUCCACUGGGUGUAUGGUAGCCACUCUGGGCAGUGGUGGUGCAACUGUAGCUUCAGCAUCUCCGAUAAUGGGCAUGUGAUUUCCACCUCAGGUUGUCCCAUUUCUAUGUUUUGACUCAAAAACCCCAGUGAGGCAGGACUAUGGAAAAGGAUACAUCUGAAAUUAGAUUUGCCACUACGAUUCCCAAAUCAGAAUCCAUUUUCAUGUAAUGUGUCUCUCUGCCAUGAGCGGU